rnacentral:rRNA from 1 species
GGACCCGCACAAGCGGUGGAUGAUGUGGAUUAAUUCGAUGCAACGCGAAAAACCUUACCUACCCUUGACAUGUACGGAAUCCCAGAGAGAUUUGGGAGUGCUCGAAAGAGAGCCGUAACACAGGUGCUGCAUGGCUGUCGUCAGCUCGUGUCGUGAGAUGUUGGGUUAAGUCCCGCAACGAGCGCAACCCUUGUCAUUAGUUGCUACGAAAGGGCACUCUAAUGAGACUGCCGGUGACAAACCGGAGGAAGGUGGGGAUGACGUCAAGUCCUCAUGGCCCUUAUGGGUAGGGCUUCACACGUCAUACAAUGGUACAUACAGAGGGCCGCCAACCCGCGAGGGGGAGCUAAUCCCAGAAAGUGUAUCGUAGUCCGGAUUGCACUCUGCAACUCGAGUGCAUGAAGUUGGAAUCGCUAGUAAUCGCGGAUCAGCAUGUCGCGGUGAAUACGUUCCCGGGUCUU